UAAUAUGCUAUGUCCAGUUAAAGCUAAGAGUGCUGCUCUAAGUUAACCUUUAUUUUAUUAACCUUAUUAUAUAGUACACGUGUCUGGAUUGCACAGAGAUGCGUCAGGGGAAGACAGUACCUACUAUCUGCUCGCACACAUUUUGCAGGAAUUGUCCUCCUCCGAUGGACUGUGGAGUGAAAACGAAAGAAGAAGCACUGGCCUGAUACUGGCCUAUUUCACAAGACUCGGUAGACCACAGUAAUUCUGCUGUCUCCAAAACAUGAUGUGAAAUGCUUUAAGGGGAAUUUACGGGAUCUGUACGAAUGACGCAAAAUUGCCAUGUCAACUAAGCCAGCUUUACCAUUGGCUAAAAUGGAGGACAAAACCCAUGGAAAUCCUCUGUUUGACUGGAGGCCACGUAACGGCAGUGAGCCUGGGGUUUUUAAAAGCACGACCGGAAGCCGGAGGGAGAGAGAGAAGCGCCGGCGAGAAGACGGCGAGAAAAAGCGCUGUGAUUUAUUGUAACCGAGAAAAAGCCACGGGCUUUAAAUAAAAUAGCACGCAAGUGCUACGAACUGGAAA